GACGAACGCUGGCGGCGUGCUUAACACAUGCAAGUCGAACGGAAAGGCCCUGCUUUUGUGGGGUGCUCGAGUGGCGCACGGGUGAGUAACACGUGAGUAACCUGCCCUUGAAUUUGGGAUAACUUCAGGAAAAUGGGGCUCAUACCGGAUAGGAGCUCCUGCUGCAUGGUGGGGGUUGGAAAGUUUCGGCGGUUGGGGAUGGACUCGCGGCUUAUCAGCUUGUUGGUGGGGUAGUGGCUUACCAAGGCUUUGACGGGUAGCCGGCCUGAGAGGGUGACCGGCCACAUUGGGACUGAGAGACGGCCCAGACUCCUACGGGAGGCAGCAGUGGGGAAUAUUGCACAAUGGGCGGAAGCCUGAUGCAGCAACGCCGCGUGCGGGAUGACGGCCUUCGGGUUGUAAACCGCUUUCGCCGGUGACGAAGCGUGAGUGACGGUAAUGGGUAAAGAAGCACCGGCUAACUACGUG
rnacentral:rRNA from 1 species